rnacentral:siRNA from 1 species
UGCCUCUCGACUACUGAGUGA